AGGAUUCUUGGAUAAUAAGAGAUAAUACUUUUCAUAGUGUCUACUGUGUGACAGGCACUUUCCAAAUAUUAUCUUACUCAAUCUUCACAAUAACCAUUUUUGUUUUACAAAGCCUUAUUUACAUCUUAGAAUCAAUAUUUUGUAUUGGUUGCAAGGUAGAUGAGCAGUAAGGAUUAGGCAAUUGGGGUUAAGUGACUUGCCUAGGGUCACACAAAGUGUCUGGGCAAGCCUACAGACCAAUGAGGUAAUGAGGAAUCAGAUUCUGCCUCCUUCCUUCCUCUGUCUCCCUCCCACUUUCAGAUAAUCUCUUCAGUUGGUGUCAAGCUGGAAUUCAGUACUGAGAAUACAGUCACACCCUAUGCAGACCUCAGAGCCUUAGAAACAGAUAGAAGUCAAAGGCCAGAACAUGGAGGCAAAAGGUUGGUUAUCUGAGGGAAAGACUCAAAUGACUAUGGCUCCAAAUGUAGGACCAGAGCCAGGAUACCAGUCUACAAGAAAGAAAAAGAGAGUAAGUUUCAAGCAUUAUCAGCCAGAGGUUCAAAUCAUGAUUAAAAUGCAAUUGGGACAGAGCAGGUGAUUAAUAAGCAUCAAAGCAAUAAGUAAUCAGUGGAAAUAUUGGUGAAUAAGUAGUUCACAUAUGGGAAGUUCUUCAUUCUGUUUCAUUCCAGAAGUCCUGCAUCUUAGAUCCAGAGGCAUCUACUUCAAUCCCUGUAUUUUACAGGUCAGUAAACUGAGACCAAAGAGGGGAACUGUCUCAUCCAUGGUCACACACAUGGUGGAAGAACCAGUGACGGGAAUUUCUCUCAUUCUCACCAAUCUGGAAGAACUAGUUACUAAGAUGGAGAUGAUGGUCCAGUAUUCUAUCUACAGUACUACUAACUAGCCACUUGACAAGAAUUGCUUUGACAAGAAUUUCUGGGACAACUGGAAAAUGGUUUGCCAAAAUUAUGUUUAAAUUAACUUUUUAAUUUACAUUCCACAAUAACUUUUUAAUUUACAUUCCACAAUAACUUAUUAAAUUACAUUCCAC
rnacentral:lncRNA from 1 species